CACUCAGGGGGGCGGUCCCUCAGCCCAGCUUGCAAGAGGGUGCAGACCAGGCCAAGGGACCCCACCAGUGCACG
rfam:Myotis lucifugus cont2.3973, whole genome shotgun sequence.